AGUGAACGCUGGCGGCGUGCUUAACACAUGCAAGUCGAACGAGAACGGAAUAUAGCUUGCUAUAUUUGUCAGCUAAGUGGCGCACGGGUGAGUAAUGUAUAGAUAACCUGCCCUUAAGAAAGGAAUAACAGUUGGAAACGACUGCUAAUGCCCUAUAUGCCUUUAAUACCAAAGUAUGCAAGGGAAACGCUUUAGUGCUUAAGGAUGGGUCUGUAUGGUAUCAGCUUGUUGGUGAAGUAAUGGAUCACCAAGGAUAUGACGCCUAACUGGUUUGAGAGGAUGAUCAGUCACACUGGAACUGAGACACGGUCCAGACUCCUACGGGAGGCAGCAGUGGGGAAUAUUGCACAAUGGACGAAAGUCUGAUGCAGCAACGCCGCGUGGAGGAUGACACAUUUCGGUGCGUAAACUCCUUUUAUAUAGGAAGAUAAUGACGGUACUAUAUGAAUAAGCACCGGCUAACUCCGUGCCAGCAGCCGCCGUAA
rnacentral:rRNA from 1 species